rnacentral:lncRNA from 1 species
AAUCACCAGAUAAAUAAAUUAGUGCUCAUUCUUGCCAGUUUCUACGCUAAUAUUUUCACUAUCUACAUUUUACAGAUAAAGAAAUUGAGAUUUACAAGGCAUCAGGUGACUGGUUUAGGUUCCUACAGCAAAUAGUGACAAAUCCAGACUAGAAAGCAUCUCAGGACUCUUUGAAAACAAAGACAAAAUUCCUAACCCAUCAUGGAAGAAGAGGCUCAAUAAAAGGUUCGCAGAAGAACUGACAAUGAGGCAGGAGAAUUGCUUAACCACUGUAUUCCCUGUAUUAUGCAUGUGAAAUAUCUGCCCCUCAUCAGCUUCCAUUCCUUGUGAAGAAGAUAGAAUAUUCAUUUGCAAAGUCUUCCAAAACAAACUUAGUUUUACUUCUGUAUAAAUUUGAAGUCAUCUAGAUGGAAGUUACCUACACUCAUCAGAAAAGCC